CCCUUAUGGUGACUAUUUAGGCCAACCUGUCCAGUGGAAAAGUUGGUGAGUUGCCCAUAGUAACCAAUGAGAUCAAUGAGCGCAGACAGAACAGACCUGCCGUGGGGGCUGAAGAGGCACCUACUUUUAUCAGAUCGGAAGUGGGCGGAGCUUAUGUCCCCUUCAGGGUCAUAUUUAAAGGAAUACUGUAGUGGAAGGAUUGUUUGACUGUGCGCACAGUAGCCGGCACAACUGCACGGCUCCCCGGCACAGCGGGUUUGCGCAGGAGACGAGCGUGGACGCAGCAACUCAAACAGUG